rnacentral:rRNA from 1 species
AUUGAACGCUGGCGGCAGGCUUAACACAUGCAAGUCGAGCGGAGAUGAGGUGCUUGCACCUUAUCUUAGCGGCGGACGGGUGAGUAAUGCUUAGGAAUCUGCCUAUUAGUGGGGGACAACAUUCCGAAAGGAAUGCUAAUACCGCAUACGCCCUACGGGGGAAAGCAGGGGAUCUUCGGCGCGUGCGCUAAGAGAUGAGCCCAAGUCGGAUUAGCUAGUUGGUGGGGUAAAGGCCUACCAAGGCGACGAUCUGUAGCGGGUCUGAGAGGAUGAUCCGCCACACUGGGACUGAGACACGGCCCAGACUCCUACGGGAGGCAGCAGUGGGGAAUAUUGGACAAUGGGCGGAAGCCUGAUCCAGCCAUGCCGCGUGUGUGAAGAAGGCCUUUUGGUUGUAAAGCACUUUAAGCGAGGAGGAGGCUACUUAGAUUAAUACUCUAGGAUAGUGGACGUUACUCGCAGAAUAAGCACCGGCUAACUCUGUGCCAGCCGCCGCCGUAAUAC